ACGGGUGAGUAAUGCCUAGGAAUCUGCCUGGUAGUGGGGGAUAACGUUCGGAAACGAACGCUAAUACCGCAUACGUCCUACGGGAGAAAGCAGGGGACCUUCGGGCCUUGCGCUAUCAGAUGAGCCUAGGUCGGAUUAGCUAGUUGGUGAGGUAAUGGCUCACCAAGGCGACGAUCCGUAACUGGUCUGAGAGGAUGAUCAGUCACACUGGAACUGAGACACGGUCCAGACUCCUACGGGAGGCAGCAGUGGGGAAUAUUGGACAAUGGGCGAAAGCCUGAUCCAGCCAUGCCGCGUGUGUGAAGAAGGUCUUCGGAUUGUAAAGCACUUUAAGUUGGGAGGAAGGGCAGUUACCUAAUACGUAAUUGUUUUGACGUUACCGACAGAAUAAGCACCGGCUAACUCUGUGCCAGCAGCCGCGGUAAUACAGAGGGUGCAAGCGUUAAUCGGAAUUACUGGGCGUAAAGCGCGCGUAGGUGGUUCGUUAAGUUGGAUGUGAAAUCCCCGGGCUCAACCUGGGAACUGCAUUCAAAACUGUCGAGCUAGAGUAUGGUAGAGGGGUGGGUGGAAUUUCCUGUGUAGCG
rnacentral:rRNA from 1 species